AGAGUUUGAUCAUGGCUCAGGAUGAACGCUGGCGGCAUAGCCUAAAACAUGCAAGUCGAGCGGUAAGGCCCCUUCGGGGGUACACGAGCGGCGGACGGGUGAGUAACGCGUGGGAAUCUACCCCAAACUGAGGGAUAAGCAUUGGAAACGAUGUCUAAUACCGCAUAUGGUCUUCGGAUUAAAGCUUCGGCGGUUUGGGAAGAGCCCGCGUAAGAUUAGCUAGUUGGUGAGGUAAAGGCUCACCAAGGCGACGAUCUUUAACUGGUUUGAGAGGAUGAUCAGUCACACUGGAACUGAGACACGGUCCAGACUCCUACGGGAGGCAGCAGUUAGGAAUUUUCCACAAUGGGCGAAAGCCUGAUGGAGCAAUGCCGCGCGCAGGAUGAAGGCCCUAGGGUUGUAAACUGCUUUUAUACGUGAAGAAUAUGACGGUAACGUAUGAAUAAGGAUCGGCUAACUCCGUG
rnacentral:rRNA from 1 species